rnacentral:rRNA from 1 species
GACAGAGGGUGCAAACGUUGUUCGGAAUUACUGGGCGUAAAGCGCGUGUAGGCGGCCCUGCAAGUCGGAUGUGAAAUCCCACGGCUCAACCGCGGAAGUGCAUUCGAAACUGCAGGGCUAGAGUCCUGGAGAGGAAGGUGGAAUGCUUGGUGUAGAGGUGAAAUUCGUAGAUAUCAAGCGGAACACCGGUGGCGAAGGCGGCCUUCUGGACAGUGACUGACGCUGAGACGCGAAAGCGUGGGGAGCAAACAGG